UAGACUCUCUCAAUGCUCUCUUCAUCUCUGUCAAACCCGAGCUAUCUCGCCCCCAAAUCCCAUCUCCUAAUCCCGUUGAUAAUGGGAUUUUAUCAUUAUUUGCUUACCUUGGUUUCCUAAUUUUGGCAAAUAGCACCUCUAUAUUGGAUGAUAAUCGACUCAAUCUUGACGAUUUGUGUGAUAUUCUUUCCAUAUAUGCAAGAUGAACUGGAUCCUUCAUACCAGUUGUCCGAUUUCGAGUUUGAAACCAUAACUAGGGUUUGGAAUUUGAUACUUUUUCCUAUUUUGUUGUUUUACUGACUUGAAUGUGAAAUUUCUCCCUUUUCUUCGUUUGCUUUUAUUCGAUUUCUUUCCUUACUUGUGUUCAAUCAAUUAUUUUCCUUGUUUGUCAUCUGAUUUUACUACUAUAUAAACCCCUUACCCCAUUCCCUUGAGACAGACCUUAAUCAAUAUAAUCUCACUAAAAACUUGAGGCUUUGCUCUAUGAAUUCCUUAUUAUCUUGCUCUUUGUUUUGUGGUGGGUGACUGAAAGUCAAGGCCACAUAGAAUGGGUUACCACAUAGAAUGGGUUUUGUACUCUUGUGGGUCUUUUGCUCUUGCUUGUUAUUCGUAAGCGACUUAAUUCUUGUAAUUUCAUCCCUAUGUGAUCUUGAUUUGCAUAUGCUCCCAUCUCUAAAACUCCUAGCUUAGUAUGUUUUCUGGAUUACUUUUGUGCACGAGUUUGUUAAUUAUACUAUGUUCUAAGUCCGUUUAGCAUCUGAAUCUCAUCCAAAUGCUACUAGUUCUGUGUUUACCCAAGCCUAACUUGGGUAAUAUGAGUGCAAAGGUGCCAAGAUGUUUCCCUAAUCAUGCUUGUUUGUUUUAUCUUUAGCCUCUAUAAUGAAUGCUUAAACGUCUAUGUUAAUUAUGACCUAUUCACUUGCUAUUUUGUCAUUCAACAUUCUCAUUUGAACCCCAUACCCUACUUGUAACUGAUUGAGAUCUUAAUAGUUACCUUAACCUAUUUUCCAUGCCCUGCUCGAACUAUUUCGUGACAUUAUUUAGAUCUUCUCUAGCUGUUUAAUCUAUUGUGGCAGUCCCAGAAUACCCAUAUGUGAUUUUUGGUAUGCGUUUGCUAUCUUACACUGUUCUAGUUCCUAGCAUUGUUUAUUCUGCAUGUACAAUGUGUUGCAAUUUGUAUUAAAACUAUUUUCUAUCGACUACGAAUCUGCUUCUAUGCUAAUAUGUUUUCUAGUCUGUCCUUUGUUCAUUUGAUAACUUGUUCUUCCAGUGUUUAUCACAAAACAUGUUCCCAUUAUGUCUAAAUACUGAUUAACUUGACCCUAAGAUGCAUGUUUAUCUUAAUUUUAACUUCUUAAGACUCAAUUUGUUUAGUGUCAUGACUGAUAACCUAUGCAAACCUAUUUCUUUCCCCAAAUUCUUCUUAUAUAUUGUUGUCUAUGUGGUACUUUACUACGUGUUGAAAUUCUGCUAAACCUGCUGGCCUAUAUGGAUUUGUUUCUCUCUAUGGCUAAGUCUACUUUAGGUUAUAAGUGUGUUCUCCCCACUUAUGUCCCUCAACUAUUGUCCAUUCUCCAUCAUCAUUAUUUAUGCUAUUCUGAACUUCUUAUUUUUAGCCGGCUGAAAGCCAAGGCUAUCAAGGCUCUUCCUACUGACCUCCGUAGUGUGAGCACUUCUCGGGUUCCAUUUGAGACCCUUGUAAACUACGACACACUAGGCAUUGGUCCUUGCCCCCUGAUAUUGAAACUUUCACUAUCCCUGACACUCCACUCUUUCCGCCUAUGGUCUACUGCAUAAGUAAAUUGGUUGGCCAAUCUAUUAUUGUGUGUUCUAGCUUAAUUUCUGCUAAGGAUUCUAGGUUGUGCUGAUUUCUAGGUAUGCUUAUUGAAGGCCUAAACGGUGUUAGGUAUUUCAAUUGAGCCUGCUGAAGGUUUAUUGUCAUCGUUUUGGUAAAACACUUUGAUUUUAUACAUUAUUGAGCCUGUAAUAACAAUUAUAUAAACAACUGGGUUGUUGGUAAAAGGGGAAAUGGGUAGAACUUUGUUAGUAAAAGGGGAAAUGGGAAGAACUUGAUCUUGUAUAUAAAAAUGGGUAGAUAACAUGACGAUAUGACUUGAUAAUUAUUUUCCAUAUGUGUUGCUCAAUUAAUUUGCAAGCUAUAGAAACCAUGUCAUUAGAGAAAAGCACGCGCACAUACUGUCUGUUAGCAAAAACAAGUAGAAAAUGCUGCAAUUAUGUUUAUUGCUACGUGUUAUUAGAAAUCCUGCUUAUAGGAUUCCAAUUAUUUUAUUUGACGCUGUUCACCUAGAAAAUAUGCUCAUGGGACUAAGAUAUGCACUAUUCAGGCCUAUAGGGAAUAAAUGCUAAUAACAACAACCUUUUAAUUUUGCACCGUACACUAGAAACCAUAUCUAUAGGAUCUGACCACUUCAUUUGCUAUUUUAUUACAUUUUAAAAUAGAUAUCAUUCCUAUAGAAUUUUAAAUAUUUAAAUUUGCUAUUGUAUCAUACUGCCUGCCUAAAAAGCAUGCCUAUAGUAAUACCAAUUCAGGAUCUCUCUCUAGGCGCAUGAUAUGGUGAACUAUUCUACACCUUCGUCGAAAAAUGGUAGAGGCAAAGCGAAGAAGAGUACGACUGUACAACGAUGGAGAAAAUGAAAUUAGUGGCAGAUUGCAUCUCUUCAAUAGGGAUGAAGAAUAAUUCGCAACCUCGAAGUAGCUCUAGUGGCCCAAAUUUGAGCUUAAUCACACCGGAGAACUCGACUAUUAGCAUGCAGAACCAGAUGACAACAUAGAAGCUUACAGAUCAGCACAAACAAAGAACAAUUCCUAAAAUUAAUAAAAAUUAUUUUUUGUCUAUUUUUUAGAAGUUAUUAUCAUGUAGGGAAAAAAUCAUAUGCUCAUAACCGGUUGGAUGGUUUGAGCCCGGGGAGGCUCAGUUUCUAGGUGCAGAUUGGGUUCAAGAGGCCUUGGACAACGUCAAGAUCAUUCAGGACAUGCUUCGUUCAGCUCACUCUAGGAAGAGAAGUUAUGCAGAUCGCAAGGUUCGAGAUGUAGCAUUUAUUGUUGGUGAGCGAGUAUUGCUCCGAGUAUUGCCUAUGAAGGGUGUGAUGAGAUUUGGGAAUAAGGGAAAACUUAACCCUAGGUACAUUGGUCCAUAUAAGUUUCUUGAUCGAGUGGGAGAUGUGGCUUAUAGACUCGUAUUGCCGCCUAGCUUAUCAGCCGUUUUUCUAAUUUUCCAUGUAUCGAUGCUCCAGAGGUAUCACGACGAUUCAACCCACGGGUUUGCUUUUAGUACAAUCCAAUUGGACAAGGACUUAUCCUAUGAGGAGAAGCCGGUAGCUAUCCUAGACUGAUAGGUUCGUCAUUUUAGGUCCAAGAGAUUUCCUUUUGUUCGGGUCCACUAGAAAAGGCAGACUCCUAAGGCAUCGCCCUGGGAGUUUGAGUUUGAUAUGAGAGUUGUUAGCCUCAUCCUUUUCCUAACUUAGGUACUUCUUCUUUUCUCUGUUCGAGGACGAACGACUGUUUUAACGGUGGAGGAGUUGACGACCCAAGGGGCGACCAUCACUUAUUUUCUUACUUAUUCUUUACUUCCGAGGCCUUGAAAACCAUAUUUGGGGUUGCCUCAAUUUGCAUGCACAGUCCGAGCGCGUAACCGGAAAGUUUAGAUAUGGAUUAUGUGAGAAAAAUGCUAAAUUUUGAUAUUUAAUUGAAUAAAUUUGAAUCCAGUAAACAUUUUAGGUAAAUGGACCCGGACACGUAAUUUGAUGGUCACGGAGGUUCCGUAAGAAAAUAUGGGACUUGGGUGUAUGCCCGGAAUAAAAUUCCAAGGUUCCAAGCCCGAGAAAUAAAUAUAUACGUGAAACUUUUUUUGGAAAUAAUUAAGGAAAUUGGAAGUGAAAUAUGAUCAAAAGAUUAUGAUAUCGGACUCGUAUUUUGGUUCCGGUGCCGGGUACAAGUCUUAUGUAUGGUUUAAGUGCUUUCUCUAAUGUUUGGUUGAAAACGGACGUCGUUUGACGUGUUUUGAACUUAAAAUGGGAAUUUGAUGUUUUAUGAAAGUUGGAGGAAAUCAUGAUUUUUGAGGCUUAAUUCGAUGUAUGAUGUUAUUUUGGCAAUCGGAUAAGUCCGUAUGAUGUUUUGAGGUUGUGUGCAUAUUUGGUCUGGGGCCCCGAGGGCUCCAGUGAGUUUUAGAUAGGUGUCAGAGUGCCUUUUUGAACUUGGGAAAAUUGAUGAGAUAACAGACCUGCAGGCUUCGCAAUUACGAAGCUUGGCUCGCAAAUGCGAGCUCGAAAUUGCGAAGAGUCAGCUCGUAAAUGCGAUACUACCCUAGACUUGAAGUUAUCGCAAUGCGAUAUUGGGCCCGCAAAUGCAAACAAUACCAUCGCAAAUGCGGAGAUGAAGUCCUCGGAAAUGCGACCUUUUGGUCCCUUCUUCCCUCAUAGUUGGCAAAUGCGAACAAGAAUCUCGCAUUUCCCAUACCUGCAGGGUUCGUAAAUACGAACCCAUGUUUGCAAUUCCCAUAUCUGCAACCUGCAAUUUUUAUACUUAGUCGAAUUUUUGACAUUUUCACCCUAUUUUCCAAAAGACAACUCCUUUGGGCGAUUUUCCAAGAACAAUACCUCUUCCAAAUAAUUUAUAAGUUUGUUUUUACUCAUUCCUUUCAAUUAUUAACAUCAUUUAACAUGUCUUCAACUUAAAAUCAAUGAUUUCCAUGGGUGAAAUUGGAGGUUUGGGGUAGAACCUAGGUUUUUUGAAAAAUCGGGGAUUUGGAUCUCAAUUGGAGGUUUGAUUUCAAAACAAGUCAUAUAUUUGGGUUCGUUGGGAAAUGGGUAACCGGAUUUUGGUUUGAACCCGGGUUUUGACCACGUUGGCUUGAGGGGAAUUUUGGUCAUUUUACCUAAAUUUUCUUCUUAGCUGUAAAUUAAAUAGUAGAAUUAGUUGACUAGGAUGUUAUUUACGAGAUGCAAUUAAAAUAAAUAGAUUUGGGCCAUUUGGAGUCGGAUACUCAUGGAAAAAGAGUGAUUUCAAGUUGAUUUUGGAGCUGAUUGAGGUAAGUGGCUUGUCUAACCUUGUGUGAAGGACAUCUCCCCUUAAGAUAUGUUAUUUGGUAAUUGAGUGCCUUGUACGUGAAGUGACAAGAGCGUUCUUGAGCUAAUUGUUGAAAACCCGAUUUUUCACUUCAGAUAUUGAGAUUGAGUUUCUUUCGUAUUUGCCUUAUUUUACUUGCAAUUAUAACCUGUGUUAGAUUAGAAAAGCAUGUUUAGAUGAUUUAACUUUCCUAAUUGCUUAAGUUGCCUUGACUGUACUACGUGAAGCAUGUUAGGCUAGGACUACCUAUUGCUUGUCUUUUGUACUUUAUUCUGAGUAUCUUCUGGUUGUUGUUGCGUAUUUACAUUGGGACUUCAGAUGUGUGGUUCUGGUAUCUGCCCCCUUGUUUGUUUACUUUGGGACUACGGGUUCGAUUCCCGGUAGAUCCCCCUGCACUUUUACUUUGGACUGAGGGUUAGAUUCCUAAUAUAGUCCCCCCACAUAUUUACUUUAAGACUGGGGGUUUGAUUCUCGGUAGAUCCCCCCUCUGCAUAUUUACUUUGGGACUGCGGGUUUGAUUCCCGAUAGAUCCCUACGUAUUUUUACUUUGGGACUGCAUGUUUGAUUCCUGAUAGACCCCCCUGCAUAUUUUACUUUGAGACUGCAGGUUUGAUUCCUGAUAGAUCCCCCUUGCAUAGUUCUAUAGAACUACUGGGUAUUUACAUUUGAGACUAGGACACG
rnacentral:lncRNA from 1 species